CUCUAGCAGUGCAGAAUUUUGGGUCUGAGCCCAACGUGACAAGCCAAAACUCACGCUUCCGAUUCCUCUUCCCAACUGUGAACCUUCACUUGAGUAUUUCGACGGAGUGAAGCGUGUUCCAUCGUCAUGGCUUCAAACUGGAUGCAUCACUGCCAUCGGAAUCCUCUACACCGAUUUCAACAUCGAAUCGCAACUGGAUCGGAAUCAUGGCGCAACGAUCUUCAAGAAUAACACUUCGUUCCAACAAUUGAACAAAGACGCGAUCGAGAUGCGAUCCGAAAAGCGAAUCUGAACCAAUGUCGUCGAAACCUCCCUCAACUCGAUUUCAAUCAUCAUCUUCAGCAAAUCGGUAUUGCGAUAACAAAUCAUAUCUCCCAGCGUAUGUGCACUCAAGAAAAUGUGCGACAGAUUGCAGAAAGAUGACAAAAAAGUAACUUACCGAUACAGUGGCUUUCUGGUGAUAACAGGAUAAUGUUGUGAAGGCUUUUUGGAAGCUUCGGUUUCUACUGCGUUUUGAAUUGUUACUGCAGUUUGUUUAUUUUUGCUUUGUGUCGUUUCCUUCAUUUUGGCGUUGUUGUUGUUCGUACUUUUGCGUACUGAUGCUGCGCCCGUGUCGUUUCUGCAUUUCGUUUUCUGCAUUCGUUUGGCACCUUCUGCUAUUUGCACAUUGCACUUUUUAUUUCAAUUGUUUAUGUUUUUGUUAUGAAUAUAGUUGGACAUGGACUCAAGCUCUAA